CUUCGGGAAUAUUCGACUGAGUAUCGUGAACGUCCGUGACAUUAAUAGGAUGUCAGAUGACUGACUGAAGCAACUUCAAUGGUUGUGUGUUGAAAUUUCGCUGAAAAUACUGCAGUUUUUUUGAGAGCUAUUCUUUAUAAUUGUUUCAGAGCUGUUCCUACUUCCUAAAGAAGUUCAUUUGUUAGCUAAACAAAAUGGGUUGCUGUUUCAGCAACGAGGAUUCCGUCAAUGGACAGGUAAUAGUAUCUAGUAUACUGUCGUCGUUCUUCUGUGGUUCACUAUCUGUGAAAUAUACUUUUACAUACUUCACAGCAUCCCAAGCUCACAUGUCGUUGUUGGGGUAUAUUUGUAUUUUUAUAUUAAUAGUUUACUAUGACAGAGUAUAUAUUGUCAAAAAAUGCUAAAAUAUUGUAUUAAAUUGAGAAAUAAGAUUGCUUACCAUUACUACAAUGAGUAAUUGACUUUUCUGGGAAAGAUUUGGGGUGAUCCAAUCUGCUUGAGAUAUGUAUACUUAAUAAGGAGAAAAAAAUAGAGAAGGCAGGUACUUCCGCUCCAAUUAUCCUGAUUUAGUCGCAUCGCAGUGGCCUGCUGGCAGGGGGGGGGGGCGGGGGGCCACGGCCCCCCAGCUGGCAAUUCUUGGGGGGUGCAAAAAUGAAAAGGGGGCGCCGAUCCCGUGCGGAAUUUUGAAAGUGGGUGGAAAAACCGCAUUUGAAAAAAAUACAGUUACUUCCACCAAGAAAAGAUGUGUUUGUAGGCUUAUAAACAGACUAAGCGCAUAGACGACAAAGUGAUAUAUUAAAUUACAGACUAUUUUGUCUAAACAUAUUUGCUAAUUUGCUACCUCCCUGCUCACACAAAAUCGUUCAUAUAGAAACAUGAUCAGUGAUCACACGCAAUGUCUCAUUACCGGAAUAUUGGUCAAGUUUCGAAGCGAUCACGGGAAUUAUGCCCUUUUUUGCUGGUAUUAUGCCCUUAUAUUAUGAGAGAGCGGCGCAAAUUAGAUAGUUAUGAUAAUGUAAAGUUGUGUACGCAAUUUAGUUGUUUCUUGUUUGUGCAAGAAACCUCAUGAGUAAUGUAAGUGAUAAGAUAAUGCUGAAACGUGCCCUUCCGGCAGCCAAGCAAGGUAAUCUUAAAAUGCAUAUGUGUGGGGUCCGUGUGUUAUUGUAUAAAAGAGCUGUAAGUUGUAAAUGUAUUCAGAUCACCAGAUCAGUAGAGAAUAGAACCAGAGACGGAUUUUCAUAUUUUUGUUCGAGGGGGUGGAUAAAAUCUGGGGGGUGGUGCUGCUGCUUGCUUUGGCCAGGGCGUGGUGGCAACGCCCGGAAAGGCCAAGGAAAAAGUUUAACAAAAUUUGUUUUCUGGGCCUGCAUGGGGAGAUCUGAGACCAUAAAUAUAU